rfam:Fukomys damarensis contig93573, whole genome shotgun sequence.
ACGCACAGUGAACACCCAAGUGUGCUUUGUAGUUCCCUUGGUUUUGACUCUGUGCUAGAGUAAUGUCUGUUCUUUCCCUCUGCGUUGAAAGGACUGUUUUUUCCUUUUAAAUGUAUUCAGAAAGACAGCACAUAU